AUUCCAUGAUGAGGGCACUUCUGUAAUAAUUCUUUGUACCUUUCCCAUGCCUCAUACAAGGACUCACAUCCAUUCGUUGGGAAGUAGUGAUCUCGUUCCUCAACUU
rfam:Gossypium hirsutum cultivar TM-1 chromosome 12, whole genome shotgun sequence